rnacentral:lncRNA from 1 species
UAAAUGUUUGGGAUUAAAAUCGCUCGUUUUAAAGAUUCGGGACGAAAAUCGCACAAAGGUGAUACAUCAGGGACCAAAAGUGCAAAUAAGCGAAAAAGAAAAUACAAAAGACGCUUCUUCCCCAAAUUAAACAUAACGCUGCAAGCCUGAAACAACAGCUUCAAUGGCCUCUCCCCUUUCAUGGUCGUUUCCUCUCCCAGCCAAAGGACCUUGCACUGCUACAGCCACCGACAAGCAUUGCCUCCAUCAAGUCGAGCCCCCAUCAUGCGCAACCAGUCCGCCACCGGACAUCCGCCACGCCGCAACAAGAAACCAUUACGCCCAAUGGCUAACAACCUCGCCGUCGAUACNNNNNNNNNNNNNNNNNNNNNNNNNNNNNNNNNNNNNNNNNNNNNNNNNNNNNNNNNNNNNGAAUCUUCUGCAAUACUUUUUCUUCUUCAUCUACGUUCCUGAAUCCGCCUCCGAAGCUCCCCAUAUCCUCUCUGAGUCUGGCUCUUCCUCCACCCCUCGCAGCCACCACACCACCCUUCUUCUUCUUUCUUUCUUUCUUUCGGUUUAUUCUUCUUCUUUCUAUCUCUCUUUUUAUUCCCUCUUCUUCUUCCUCUUCUUUCUCUCUGUUUCGAUUUCUUUUUUUUUCCUGGACUCAACAUCAAUCUGAGAUUUGUAGAAGAUUUCUCAGGUUGUGUUUCUGGCUUUAUGGGGGUUCGAUGUUUCUAGGUUUUUGGUUUGGGAAAAACAUGAAUUUGAUUCUAGGACGAAGAUGAAGUUUAAGUUUUUGGGGGUUCGAUGUUUUUUGGUUUUGGGGGUUAGUUUCAAGUGUGUUUUAGAUGAUGAUGGGAAGAAGAUGAAGUCUGGGUUUGUUUCUGGAUUUUUCCUUUGUUUCCAUGUCUUUUUUUCUGGGUUUAAUUUUUGUUUGCUGGUUCUUCUCAAUGGCAUCUUCUUCUCUGGUUUUAUGGGUUUCAGAGAAAGAAAGAAGAGAGCAGAUGAAGAAGAAAGAAGAAAAUUAUUUAAAAAAAACAUUUUACUUUUUUAUUUAAUAUUUUUUAAAAUUAAUUAGAGGUGCCACGUCAUUUAAAAGGGCCACAUCAGCUUUUUCUGUCUUCAAUUGACGGCAAGACCAAAAUUGCACAUUAUGUAAAUGUUUGGGAUUAAAAUCGCUCGUUUUAAAGAUUCGGGACGAAAAUCGCACAAAGGUGAUACAUCAGGGACCAAAAGUGCAAAUAAGCGAAAAAGAAAAUACAAAAGACGCUUCUUCCCCAAAUUAAACAUAACGCUGCAAGCCUGAAACAACAGCUUCAAUGGCCUCUCCCCUUUCAUGGUCGUUUCCUCUCCCAGCCAAAGGACCUUGCACUGCUACAGCCACCGACAAGCAUUGCCUCCAUCAAGUCGAGCCCCCAUCAUGCGCAACCAGUCCGCCACCGGACAUCCGCCACGCCGCAACAAGAAACCAUUACGCCCAAUGGCUANN